rnacentral:ncRNA from 1 species
UUGAAUCCUUUGAAGAGGGGUAGUAGACAGCUGAUUUAGUUAAAGAGAGCCGGGGAUGGUGGAAUCCUGGUACGAUAAUGGCUGGUGAAUGGGCCUCUGAGGAGUAAUCCGAAAUUCAUUUAUGAAAAGUAGUAAUUACCGUAAUCCAUACGUUAUAAUGGAUAGAGCAUGUUAGUGCUUGAACUUAUAAGUGGCAAUUUAUUUUAGUUGCAAUUUAGGUGGUACCGCGGAUAUUACUCCGUCCUAAUU